GAUGAACGCUGGCGGCGUGCUUAACACAUGCAAGUCGAACGAAGCGCUUGGAUGGAAUUCUUCGGAAGGAAGCUCAAGUGACUGAGUGGCGGACGGGUGAGUAACGCGUGGGUAACCUGCCUCAUACAGGGGGAUAACAGUUAGAAAUGACUGCUAAUACCGCAUAAGCACACGUGAUCGCAUGAUCGAGUGUGAAAAACUCCGGUGGUAUGAGAUGGACCCGCGUCUGAUUAGCUAGUUGGUGGGGUAAUGGCCUACCAAGGCGACGAUCAGUAGCCGGCCUGAGAGGGUGAACGGCCACAUUGGGACUGAGACACGGCCCAAACUCCUACGGGAGGCAGCAGUGGGGAAUAUUGCACAAUGGGGGAAACCCUGAUGCAGCGACGCCGCGUGAAGGAUGAAGUAUUUCGGUAUGUAAACUUCUAUCAGCAGG
rnacentral:rRNA from 1 species